GCGGACGAGGAGCGCUGUUUGAGUUGCAUCCUAGCCCAGCAGGUGCGGCCGGGCUAGGGUCAGGAUGGGGUAGGGCGGGGAUCCGCGGUUAAGUCCCCCGUGACGGCACGUUCCAUUCCCCUAGCCCGACCGGCUCCGGGAUGAAGAACUGGCUGAGCUGGAGGAUGCGCUGCGAAAUCUGAAGUGCGGCUCGGGGGCCCGGGGUGGCGACGGGGAGGUCGCUUCGGCCCCCUUGCAGCCCCCGGUGCCCUCUCUGUCGGAGGUGAAGCCGCCGCCGCCGCCGCCACCUGCCCAGACUUUUCUGUUCCAGGGUCAGCCUGUAGUGAAUCGGCCGCUGAGCCUGAAGGACCAACAGACGUUCGCGCGCUCUGUGGGUCUCAAAUGGCGCAAGGUGGGGCGCUCACUGCAGCGAGGCUGCCGGGCGCUGCGGGACCCGGCGCUGGACUCGCU
rnacentral:lncRNA from 1 species